rnacentral:rRNA from 1 species
AUUGAACGCUGGCGGCAUGCCUAACACAUGCAAGUCGAACGGUAACAGGCCCUUCGGGGUGCUGACGAGUGGCGGAUGGGUGAGUAAUACUUAGGAAUCUACCCUCGUAGUGGGGGACGAACCCGGGGAAACGUCGGGCUAAUACCGCAUACGCUCUACGGAGGAAAGCGGGGGACCGGCAAGGCCUCGCGCUAUUGGAUGAGCCUAAGCCCGAUUAGCUAGUUGGUGGGGUAAUAGCCUACCAAGGCAAUGAUCGGUAGCUGGUCUGAGAGGACGACCAGCCACACUGGGACUGAGACACGGCCCAGACUCCUACGGGAGGGC